rnacentral:rRNA from 1 species
UUAGGAAUUUUGCACAAUGGGCGAAAGCCUGAUGCAGCAACGCCGCGUGGACGAUGAAGGCCUUCGGGUCGUAAAGUCCUUUUCAGAGGGAAGACUUCGACGGUACCUCUGGAAUAAGCCUCGGCUAACUACGUGCCAGCAGCCGCGGUAAUACGUAGGAGGCGAGCGUUAUCCGGAUUUACUGGGCGUAAAGAGCGCGUAGGUGGUUCCAUAAGUUGGGCGUGAAAGCCCCCGGCUCAACUGGGGAGGGUCGUUCAAUACUGUGGAACUUGAGGGUGGACGAGGAGACUGGAAUUCCCGGUGUAGUGGUGAAAUGCGUAGAUAUCGGGAGGAACACCCGUGGCAAAGGCGAGUCUCUGGGCCACUUCUGACACUGAGGCGCGAAAGCGUGGGGAGCGAACGGAAUUGGAUACUCCGGUAGUCCACGCCCUAAACGAUGGGCACUAGGUGUGGUGGGUAUCGACCCCUGCCGUGCCGCAGCUAACGCAAUAAGUGCCCCGCCUGGGGACUACGAGCGCAAGCUUA